rfam:Triticum aestivum genome assembly, contig: Triticum_aestivum_CS42_TGACv1_scaffold_433964_5DL
UGUGUACUCCCUCCGUCCGAAAAUACUUGUUGGAGGAAUGGAUGUAUCUCGACAUAUUUUAAUUCUAGAUACAUCCAUUUUUAUGCAUUUCUUCGACAAUUAUUUCCGGACGGAGGGAGUAUUUG